rnacentral:rRNA from 1 species
CAAGUCGAGGGGCAUGCGGUAGCAAUACUGGCGGCGACCGGCAAACGGGUGCGGAACACGUACAGAACCUACCUUUAUCUGGGGCAUAGCCCGGAGAAAUCCGGAUUAACUCCCCAUAAUAUGACUGGGUGGCAUCACUUGGUUAUUAAAAAUUUAUUGGAUAGAGAUGGCUGUGCGUCCCAUUAGCUAGUUGGUAGGGUAACGGCCUACCAAGGCGACGAUGGGUAGCUGGUGUGAGAGCACGACCAGCCACACGGGCACUGAGACACGGGCCCGACUCCUACGGGAGGCAGCAGUGAGGAAUAUUGGUCAAUGGGCGCAAGCCUGAACCAGCCAUGCCGCGUGAAGGAUGAAGGCCUUCUGGGUUGUAAACUUCUUUUACAGGGGAAGAAAACUAUGGUUUCUACUAUAGCCGACGGUACCCUGGGAAUAAGCACCGGCUAACUCCGUGCCAGCAGCUGCGGU